UCCGACCUCAGAUCGGACGAGAUUACCCGCUGAAUUUAAGCAUAUAACUAAGCGGAGGAAAAGAAACUAACAAGGAUUUCCCCAGUAACGGCGAGUGAAGCGGAAAAAGCCCAGCACCGAAUCCCUCAGUGUCAUGCUGACGGGAACUGUGGUGUGUGGGACGCCACCAGUCGCAUCAGCGGGCGCCGAAGUCCUCCUGAUCGAGGCUUCACCCAGAGCGGGUGUAAGGCCUUUGCAGGUGCUUCGCUGUGCGGCCGCGAGCGCCCUAGGAGUCGGGUUGUUUGGGAAUGCAGCCCAAAGCGGGUGGUAAACUCCAUCUAAG
rnacentral:rRNA from 1 species